CCAGCAGCCGCGGUAAUUCCAGCUCCAAUAGCGUAUAUUAAAGUUGUUGCAGUUAAAAAGCUCGUAGUUGAAUUUCUGGCUGGUGCUGUGUUGGCUCUCUGAGUCGAUUCAGUGCUUAGUCAUCCGUAUGGGAAGCUAGCUCGAUCUUCACUGGUCGGCUAGUGGAUCAUACACUUUACUUUGAAAAAAUUAGAGUGUUUCAGGCAGGCAAUUGCUUGGAUACUGCAGCAUGGAAUAAUGGAAUAGGACUUUGACCUAUUUAUUGGUUUCUCGAGGUCGAAGUAAUGAUUAAUAGGGACAGUUGGGGGCAUUCGUAUUUAAUUGUCAGAGGUGAAAUUCUUGGA
rnacentral:rRNA from 1 species